rnacentral:rRNA from 1 species
ACGGAGAAGACUACAGGGAUUCCCCUAGUAACGGCGAGUGAAGCGGGAAUAGCUCAAAUUUGAAAUCUCAUUAUUUUAUAAUGCGAAUUGUAGUUUAGAGAAACGUUUUCUGGGUUAACGAUUAGUACAAGUUCUUUGGAACAAGACAUCAUAGAGGGUGAUAAUCCCGUCUCUGACUAAUUGUUUAAUUCUUUAUGAUACGUUUUCUAAGAGUCGGUUUGUUUGGGAAUGCAGACCAAAAUGGGUGGUAAAUACCAUCUAAAGCUAAAUAUUGGCGAGAGACCGAUAGCGAACAAGUACCGUGAGGGAAAGAUGAAAAGAACUUUGAAAAGAGAGUUAAAUAGUACGUGAAAUUGUCAAAAGGGAAACGUUUGAAACCAGUAUUGUGAGUAAAUAUUCAGCUUUAUCCUUGAUAGAGUGUAUUUAUUUAUUUACAAGUCAACAUCAGUUUGAUUUGAUGUAAAAAGCUAUAGAAAUGUAACCCUUUUGGGCAUUAUAGUCUAUAGUCAUGCAUUGGAUUGGACUGAGGACUGCAGUAUUAUUUAGAGACCCUUAUCGCCUAGGAAAUUUAUUAUAAAGAUUACUUGUAAAUUUUAUGAUUAAAUGAAUAGUACGGUUUGGUAUCAUACCAAUACUUUGGAUGUUGACGAAAUGGUUUUAAGCGACCCGUCUUGAAACACGGACCAAGGAGUCUAACAAAUAUGCGAGUAUUUGGGUGGAAAACCCUUAUGCGUAGUGAAAGCGAAAAGGUGGGAUACUUUACAGUUGCACCAUCGACCGCGCUAGAUUAUUACUAUCUCAGCGUGAGUAUGAGCAUAUUUGCUGGGACCCGAAAGAUGGUGAACUAUGCCUGAAUAGGGUGAAGUCAGAGGAAACUCUGAUGGAGGCUCGUAGCGGUUCUGACGUGCAAAUCGAUCGUCAAAUUUGGGUAUAGGGGCGAAAGACUAUC